GAUGUAGUAAAUAUCACGGUGGCAUUUUUGAAAUUUACAUGAACUUUUUGACAUGUUAACGACGGUUAUUGUGAAACCGGCCUCGAUAUGCAUGUUACCACGACGGUUUUAGAAAAACCGCCUUUGUUUGUAAGUAGACCACGACGAUUUUCUAUACCACGUCUUUGUAUAGACUGACUUUUCAUUUUAUCUCUCUCUUAUCUUAUAUUCUCGGUGUAUACACACUCGCCCUUCAUUUUCUCUCUCUUAUCUUAUCUUCUCCGCUAGCUGACCCUUCAUUUUUUCUCUCUUAUCUUAUCUUCUUCGCUAGCUAACCCUUCAUUUUCCCUCUCUCUGGCAGAGAACGUUUGUGUAUGUCUGAAUCUCUGGACCCCAAAGCACAACAACAACCCAUCUCCAUGGCUGAUGACUCCUCCUCAACAUUGCAGAUUCAAAACCUCAAAAACCUCAACGCCCUCCUUCUCAAGGAGACCACCCAACACCGCCAGCAGAUUCACUCUCUCCAAUCCGCUGUCAUAUUCGACACCAACCUCACCUUUGACCUCCAAAAUGCUGUUGUUUCUGUCUUCUUCAAGAACCAGCUCUAGGAAAUGAACCUCCGCUUCGACUCGCUGGUCGGAGAUAGGGACUACGAGGUUUCUGCUCUCAAGCACCAGCUCAGCGACCUCGUCGCUUGUCUCGAGAACAAAACAACUGCUCUCGCUGAGGAGCGUGACAGACUCGUUCGCGAGAUGAAGCGACUGAAGGCGAGCGUCGAUCGAGAGAGGAAGCUUCUGGAGGAAGCGGAGAAGGAUAGGUCGGAAGGCGAAGAGGUUUUGUCUCGAAAACAGAGAGACAUUGCGAAACUGAAAAUUGAGCGAGAUUUGGCGGUUAAGAGUUCUCAGGAGUCGUGUACUACGAUUGGAACGUUGAAGGAGGCGAUUGAAGCGGUGAGUAGGGAGAAGAGUGAGAUUCAAAGCCGAAACAAUGCUCUAGAGACGAAAAUCGGUUAUCUAGAAACUGAGUUGAAGCAACUCAACGAUUAUACGAAGAAGGAAGAAGAGAUUACGCGUGCGAAGAUUCUCGAAUUGGAAGGGAACCUUGGCAUUGCCAUGCAAAAGGAAGAGGAGAUGAAAAUGGGGAUAAGUGCUCAUCUGAAGGAGAAGAAGGAGGUGAAAAUGAAUGUUGACAGAGGAAAACAUAUGGUGUUCAUAAGGCUCUGAGUGUGGUUCAGAAGGAGUUGGAGGAUAAGUAGCAUGAGCUUGAUGAAGCUGUUAAGGGGAGGAGUGAGAUUGAGGAGGUCAAGGUCAAUCUCGAGAAUAAAAUUGUUGAGUUGCGAGGGAUAGUGUUGUCGGAGACGGUGGUGGUCAUGGAGAGGUUCAGCUUGAAGGUGAUGCUGGGCGCCGUGGAGAGGAAGGAAACCUAAGAGGCUUUCAAUGCUAUGUUGCCCAACGUCCUCGUCAUCCAGGUUGGUUAUCUUUCCUAAACCAUAUGAUAACUCAUCCUUAAAAGAAAUUAUUCGUUAAUAUAUAUGGAUACGCAAUGAAACCAAAUUAUACACACCAAGUCUAUGUACGCCUUUGUUAGGAGUUGCUUUAUUUUUUUUCUUUAUAUUCCACCACAUUAUUGAUUAUUGAAUUGGACGACACGAGUACAUGCUCCUAGGAAUAAAUGGUCUUGAGGUCCAGCAGUGCUUUCUAGUCCUCACGAGUAUACAUUGAUUAUUGAUUGGAUGUUCUUACCUGCAUCUCUGUGGAUUAGCUUGGUGUGGAUGGAGUUGUUCUUACCAAUGAGUUUUCUAAUAUAUUGUGCUGUAAGUGUUUGUUAAAAUUACUAUGAAAGUAAUUAGCUUGGUGUGGAUGGAGUUGUUCUUACCAAUGAGUUUUCUAAUAUAUUGUGCUGUAAGUGUUUGUUAAAAUUACUAUGAAAGUACAAGUCUUGUGUUUUUCUUAACUUGAAGAUAUAUAUAGUGUGGAUUAACUUGUGUUUGUUAAAAUUACUCAAUGAAAAGAUUUUUUGUUUAUAUCGAAAGGCAAGCAUAAGAUCUACAUGUGUUUGCUGGGAGGUUUUCUAGCAGAUUCCUUCCUUGGCCGAUACAAGACAAUUGGAAUCUUUGCUUCAAUACAAACGCUGGUUAGUUACAUCAAUUACUAGUGACUACUUUUGUCAUAAAAAUUUAGUCAACCUUAUUGGCAUAUUCAUUUAUAUAAGAGUGAAUUACACGGACUUCUCCUCCUGAGUUUUGUUUUUAUUAUUACACCUAGUAACUUUUUUAUUUUUUUACUUUGAGUUUGUGGGGAUAGGUAAAAGAUACAGAUACAAGAGGAGUUUCGGGAGCCCCAUUGUCCACAUUUUCCAAGUUAUUGCUGCAUCAAUAAAGAAAAGAAAGAUGCAACUCCCAUACAAUGUUGGUUCUUUGUAUGAGGACACUCCCGAGGCUUCAAGAAUAGAGCACACCGAACAGUUCCGUAAACUUCCUUAAUUCCAAAGAAGCUACUUUGGGCAUGGUGACUAGGAUUUGUCAUACAUAAAAUGAUCAAUCAGGGCUACACUAAGAGAAGCUGCUCGAGCGAAAUGCUUCAACGGAUGAAGAGUUCAAUCAGUUACAAGCAAGAAAGAGCUCUCCUAAUCGCUUGCUAUUUUCAGCCAAGAUAAUGUACAAGUUAGGGAUAUCAUCAUCAAAGAUCAACUUGUUGCUUCCCAUCCUCAAGGAAUUUGCUAAGAUUACAAGGGAAGGAUCUUUGGCACUUGUAGCACUUCCAUUUGAUGGCAUACUUGGACUUGGAUUCCAGGAUACUUCAGUUGGAAAAGUCACACCAGUGUGUUACACACCAGAACUUCAUUAAUUCAUUUUUGUGUUUAUUGAUGUUUCUUCUUUCCAUUUUAAAUUUGAAUAGAAGUGCAAGAAUAAUGGUGUGAUUGUAUUUUUUUUUAUAAUAAUAUGGGAGAAGGAUAAUCAGACUUCCCUUUUUUA